CGCCUGGGCAGUUGAUGAGGCAGGGGAUGCGAGCGUCAUGGAGAUUGAAGCCGAAUCGGUUCCUGGAAGCCAUUAAUGGCAAUUGAGGCGCAGCACUCACCGGCAGCCAAUUAUGUAGUCUCUCGGUCGACCGUAGGCAUCGAUGACCACCGGCUGCAAUCUUGAGCGAGACAACAGCGGCAGAGAAGGCGACAGACAGGUCUCUAACUCCAACGCGGCGACAACGAGCCUUUCUUUCUCGAGCUUGGUAUCCGAGAUGAUUUCAGAUUUAUGUGUGGUGAGAUGAUUGGUUAUAAACGAGGGGAAAUUACCAUGUUUCAAUAAAUCUCUCUGUACCUUAUAUCCUUCAA